AUUAUUACAAUAUAUUAGUUGUCACAAAAAUGAAUUUUAUUAGUAGGAAUUAUUUUGUUUCUUUCAACCAUUUUUUCUCGAUUUAUUUUAGUUUUGAUUUUGAUCUUCACCUUAGGGUUCGGCUUUUUUUUUUUACUUCGUCCUCUAUCAAAGGAGGAAGAUUCUUCGGUAGAAGGAUGGCAACGAAAGCUGUACUAUUCCGGCCGCCGGUGCUUUUCCUUCCAUUCACGCUUCUAACAAUGAUACGGAGAUGGAAACCUCAGCCAAAUCCUUCCACGGCCCUUUUCUUGAUGGGUGGGUGAUAUUUGCAGCAUAUGCAAAGCCCAGAAGUCCCAUAGGAUAUUCAUCUUACCAUUCUGAUAAAUGAUGCUUGUAAGGAGAUUCAACUCAUCCAUCCAAACUUUUUGGUUCAGAAUUUUGGAGACUGCCCAACAAAUUGAAAUUUUUUAUCAUAUGUUCUUCCUGAUAAAGUUAUGCUUGCUUCAUUUUCUUGUUUGUCCCCUGUAAUCCCACAUGUUAUACUAUUCACUGGUAUAGUCUUCGCUAAAAAUGAGAUUGUUUUUCCAAA